rnacentral:rRNA from 1 species
CCUACGGGUGGCAGCAGUGGGGAAUAUUGGACAAUGGGCGCAAGCCUGAUCCAGCAAUGCCGCGUGUGUGAAGAAGGCCUGCGGGUUGUAAAGCACUUUAAGCAGGAAAGAAGGGGUGAAAGUUAAUACCUUUCAUCAUUGACGUUACCUGCAGAAUAAGCACCGGCUAACUCCGUGCCAGCAGCCGCGGUAAUACGGAGGGUGCGAGCGUGAAUCGGAAUUAGCGUGCGUAGUGUGAGCGUAGGCUCGUGAAAGCCCGGGGCUUAACCUGGGAACUGCGGUGGAUACUGUCGGGCUAGAGUGUGGUAGAGGGGAGUGGAAUUUCCGGUGUAGCAGUGAAAUGCGUAGAGAUCGGAAGGAACACCAGUGGCGAAGGCGGCUCCCUGGACUAACACUGACGCUGAGGUGCGAAAGCGUGGGGAGCAAACAGGAUUAGAUACCCCAGUAGUC